rnacentral:misc_RNA from 1 species
AAGUCGUAACAAGGUUUCCGUAGGUGAACCUGCGGAAGGAUCAUUAACACGUAUCCAACGUUAAACCCUGUGAACUUUCAACCGCUCUUGUAGCCCACGCGGAACAGCAAUCCCGGUAAAUCAAUUGGAGAAAAUAAGGAUAACGCCUCACGGUUGCCAGAGGUCGAUCACCGGCCGGCAGACAUGUCACAGGGCUCUAUGCCCCCUCAUUCACACCUUGCCCUAUCUGGCCCCACGGAUACGUUGGGGCACAAACCGAACAACUGUUAACAAUGGAUAUCUUGGUUCUC